rnacentral:rRNA from 1 species
UACGAAGGGGGCUAGCGUUGUUCGGAAUUACUGGGCGUAAAGCGCACGUAGGCGGCUACUCAAGUCAGAGGUGAAAGCCCAGGGCUCAACCUUGGAACUGCCUUUGAAACUAGGUAGCUAGAAUUCUGGAGAGGUCAGUGGAAUUCCGAGUGUAGAGGUGAAAUUCGUAGAUAUUCGGAAGAACACCAGUGGCGAAGGCGACUGACUGGACAGAUAUUGACGCUGAGGUGCGAAAGCGUGGGGAGCAAACAGG